GUCUGGGGAUGGGACCUAACAAACCUUUUAACUGAAAGGGUCAAAACACACCUCAGUGUACUUUGCUAGUAUCACAUGUAACAGAUCUGAAAGCAUGAGAAAGUAUUUUCAGAAAAAACCUUUGAGGUUGACACCACUCUUACAGGGUUGAAGGUAUUAGCUUCCUUGAGUUUGCAGUGAAGUCGAUAAAGGCUCAAGAAGCCGAAGUGCUUUAAGAUCUUCCUACUGCACUGAACAGAAAAUGGGACUCACACACUGGGCUAACCCAGGAGGGCAGUGAGAACUAUGGGCCAAGCUUUCAAGACUUGGAUGAAUGACACAGCACAGCUGACACCAGCAAGACUGUUAUGGGCGAGCUUGACAUGAUUUCGUUACUUGCUGGGACCAUUCUGAAAUCCAUGGUCUUCAGCCUUACGGAUCCUCAGACCACCUGUGUGGCACCAACAGCACACCCAUUACUGCCCGAACCUUGCCAGCGAAGCCAGACUGCAACGUGGAAGAAGUCAGGAAGGUGGUGACUGCUGUCCACUCCUCUGGGGCAUCCGCCUUCUCUUGCUUCACCUGGGGUCCAACUCCACUGAACCCCGUCCACAGCCCACCCGUUACCUCUGAUAAUAGAUGUCUGAGCGUCCACAAGAGGCCCCUGACUUUCGAAAGGCCACUCUGCGUUUCCAGCCAGGGCCCAGGGCUGGGCAGUCCUGCCAGGCCUCAGCCAUAGAUGCUUCAGGGACAGAGCAGAAGCCUGCAAGAUUUAAAGAAGCCUACCUGGUAUGACUGUCAGCAGCUUUUGCAGAUUCUUCCUACUGAAGAAAAGGAAUGUAUGAUCUUGGAGGCCUGGAAGAAUGUUCCAGAGAUAACGGCACCCCAACACAAAACCCAGCCAAUAUUGAUUAGCAAUUUCCCCUCUGGAGACCUGAUUGGGACAACAACACGGCUGAAGAUUGUGUGGAGGAGCUCCAUUCAUCCCAGGACUCCAGGAACUCAGGCUGAUUACACUCAGGUGCUGAGGCAAGGCACACGAAGGACACGUGAUGUUUACAGGGUAUAACUACAACUCAACAGAGUGAUAGAGUGACGGAGAAAGAGCUUGGCUUGCUGGCACAGCUAGCUGUACAACGCUCGUGGGUGGCACAGCUUCACUUUGCUUCCCUGAGAGAGGCACAGCUGAGAACUUCCGGUGCCACUAUUGGUCCCUCUUGCUGACGUGAGCCAAGGAUGAAGCCUAGCUGUCUCUGCUAAGUUGUUUCGCCACUGUUGCUAACCUGACUCUACUGAACUAGACUCCUGGUGUAUCCAUAAAAUGUUUGUAAAUGGAUCAAGCGGCCACUGCCUCCUAAUCUUCGAACUGAACUGCCGAUUUCCAGACAAUACAGACAGGGGCUCUUCCAAGGUUGUUCCAACCUUUCUAAACAGAUCCACUUACCCCACGCCACCCCGCCCUGUAUCCCACUAUCUCUGGAGGGUGGUGGGCUACAUGGGAGGUUAAAGUGUUUAAGAGCCAUCGUUAAAAAUAGGAUUUGAAAAAAUUAAAGUUACAGGUACCAAGG